AAGUGGCAAUAUUUGCUCACCUGAUACACACACAUCUGGUCGGGGUGGGCCCGGGGGAGACCGGGGAAAGGACCCCUUGAUGCAGCUGUGGCCCCCGGAGAAAGAGCAGACCAGGAAGUUUUGUGGCUGGAGGAGGGUGGGGGGCUGUCUUGGCGGGGUGCUGUUUAGCUGGGGUGGCCCCAUUGUCCCUUUAAAGAGGCAGGGGCCGUAUUUGCUCGGAGCCGCAGGAGGCUGAUGAGGUGCUAAUCUGUUGAGUGGCUGUGUCAUUGGGCCCCUGUUCCCAAUAGUCUGUUAGCUGUCAGGGCCUGUAAAAAAAAAGGGCACAAUUUACGGGCCCCUGGCCAGGACUCAGCCACCGGCGUCCACGGGCUCUAAUACACAACCCGUCCAUGUUGGCUGUAAAGUUCAGACAGCGGUGACGAGGGGCCGCGGCACAGGAGAUGAACCAUGAAAGAGUCGGGGAUUUGGAAACCUCACGUUGCCAAUCGGCUUGCUGCUGCCUCACAAAACCACAGCUGUCCAGGCUCCUAAAUGGUGGAACAAGCUCCCAAUUGACCUCAGGACGGCAGUAGGUCUCCACAUCUUCAGCUGCAGACUAACAACACAUCUCCUCCGACUACCCUUUGGUUAAAAAAGUAAAAUGAAAUAAUAAAAUAAAUACAAUAAUAAUAAUUAGUUGCACUUAUAUGGCACUUACACUUCUUAGUUUUGCUUUUUGGAAGUAAAUUUACUUAUGUGAUUCUUGUUGAUCUGGGUUUGUACCCCUCAUGGUUGAAUGCACUUAUUGUUAGUCGCUUUUGAUAAAACUUCAGCUAAAUGAAAUGUAUUGUAUUGUAAUGUAAUGUAAUGUAAUGUAGCGUUGGGCAGGUGUUUUUCAGUUUAGUUUGUUGUCCAUGCUGUUAUAAAUACUGGUAAUCCAUUAAUACAUCCUCAUUUGUCUUUACAUUUCAAAUAAGCCAUCAAUUCUUGUGGUAAUAAUGUAUAUAAGGUCUCAGUGGUUAUUAUUGUUCCAUUAAGCUUUUUUCCAAUGAUUUAUUGAUAAGUAAUAAAGCUCUUUGUUAUUUAAAAGCC